UGACCGCUGGCGGCGUGCCUACUACAUGCAAGUCGAGCGAACAGACGAGGAGCUUGCUCCUCUGAUGUUAGCGGCGGACGGGUGAGUAACACGUGGAUAACCUACCUAUAAGACUGGGAUAACUUCGGGAAACCGGAGCUAAUACCGGAUAACAUGUUGAACCGCAUGGUUCAACAGUGAAAGACGGUCUUGCUGUCACUUAUAGAUGGAUCCGCGCCGCAUUAGCUAGUUGGUAAGGUAACGGCUUACCAAGGCAACGAUGCGUAGCCGACCUGAGAGGGUGAUCGGCCACACUGGAACUGAGACACGGUCCAGACUCCUACGGGAGGCAGCAGUAGGGAAUCUUCCGCAAUGGGCGAAAGCCUGACGGAGCAACGCCGCGUGAGUGAAGAAGGUCUUCGGAUCGUAAAACUCUGUUAUUAGGGAAGAACAAAUGUGUAAGUAACUAUGCACGUCUUGACGGUACCUAAUCAGAAAGCCACGGCUAACUACGUG
rnacentral:rRNA from 1 species